rnacentral:rRNA from 1 species
UACAGAGGGUGCAAGCGUUAAUCGGAAUUACUGGGCGUAAAGCGUGCGUAGACGGUUACAUAAGUCAGGUGUGAAAGCCCCGGGCUCAACCUGGGAAUUGCAUUUGAGACUGUGUAGCUAGGGUGCGGAAGAGGGAAGCGGAAUUUCCGGUGUAGCGGUGAAAUGCGUAGAUAUCGGAAGGAACACCAGUGGCGAAAGCGGCUUCCUGGUCCAGCACCGACGUUCAGGCACGAAAGUGUGGGGAGCAAA